rnacentral:SRP_RNA from 1 species
AAAGUGGCUAGACUGGAGGGGUAGAGGUCCUCUGUAAGCACAAACCCUCUUUUGGUGCGGUCGAAAUUCAAGGAGCGGCAUGUCAAAUGAGUAAUGGCCUGAUUAGCUAAUAUAGAAGUUUCGUCCUACAGGAUUAAUGGUCAUAAAACCUUAACUGGAGGGUUAAGGUAAAUUAUGUUUAUUACAAGAAUGUGUUAGGCAUGGAAAUGAGCAACUCUACUGUAAACACUUGAUGCUUGUAGAUUAACGGGGUGGAGUUAGAUUUUCAGAUAACUAUUAUUUAAAAGGCAAGCCCAUCUUUGAAUGUGCCAUUAU